rnacentral:rRNA from 1 species
UACGGAGGGUGCAAGCGUUAUCCGGAAUUAUUGGGCGUAAAGCGUGCGCAGGCGGUUCUAUAAGACAGAUGUGAAAUCCCCGGGCUCAACCUGGGAACUGCAUUUGUGACUGUAGAGCUGGAGUACGGCAGAGGGGGAUGGAAUUCCGCGUGUAGCAGUGAAAUGCGUAGAUAUGCGGAGGAACACGAUGGCGAAGGCAAUCCCCUGGGCCUGUACUGACGCUCAUGCACGAAAGCGUGGGGAGCAAACAGG